UACGUAGGGGGCAAGCGUUGUCCGGAAUCAUUGGGCGUAAAGAGCGUGUAGGCGGUCCGGUCAGUCGGUUGUGAAAGUCAAGGGCUCAACCCUUGAAUGCCGGCCGAUACUGCCGGGCUAGAGUCCGGAAGAGGUGAGUGGAAUUCCUGGUGUAGCGGUGAAAUGCGUAGAUAUCGGGAGGAACACCAGUGGCGAAGGCGAGUCUCUGGGCAUUAACUGACGCUGAGGCGCGAAAGCUAGGGGAGCAAACAGG
rnacentral:rRNA from 1 species